rnacentral:rRNA from 1 species
AGCGAACGCUGGCGGCAGGCUUAACACAUGCAAGUCGAGCGCCCCGCAAGGGGAGCGGCAGACGGGAGAGUAACACGUGGGAACAUACCUUUUGGUUCGGAACAACUGAGGGAAACUUCAGCUAAUACCGGAUAAGCCCUUACGGGGAAAGAUUUAUCGCCGAAAGAUUGGCCCGCGUCUGAUUAGCUAGUUGGUGAGGUAACGGCUCACCAAGGCGACGAUCAGUAGCUGGUCUGAGAGGAUGAUCAGCCUCACUGGGACUGAGACACGGCCCAGACUCCUACGGGAGGCAGCAGUGGGGAAUAUUGGACAAUGGGGGCAACCCUGAUCCAGCCAUGCCGCGUGAGUGAUGAAGGUCUUAGGGUUGUAAAGCUCUUUUGCCCGGGAAGAUAAUGACGGUACCGGGAGAAUAAGCCCCGGCUAACUUCGUG